AAUCAACGCUGGCGGCGCGCUUAACACAUGCAAGUCGCACGAGAAAGGGAGCAAUCCUGAGUAAAGUGGCGUACGGGUGAGUAACACGUGGGAAUCUACCUCUUGGCGGGGAAUAACCCUGGGAAACCGUGGCUAAUACCGCAUAAGCUCGUGAGAGGAAAGCAGCAAUGCACCGAGAGAGGAGCCCGCGGCCGAUUAGCUAGUUGGUGGGGUAAUGGCUCACCAAGGCGAAGAUCGGUAGCCGGCCUGAGAGGGCACACGGCCACACUGGCACUGAAACACGGGCAAGACUCCUACGGGAGGCAGCAGUGGGGAAUCUUGCACAAUGGGGGAAACCCUGAUGCAGCGACGCCGCGUGAGUGAUGAAGCCCUUCGGGGUGUAAAGCUCUUUCGACAGGAACGAUAAUGACGGUACCUGGAGAAGAAGCUGCGGCUAACUACGUG
rnacentral:rRNA from 1 species